rnacentral:piRNA from 1 species
UCAAUUCGAAGUUGUCACAUC